rnacentral:rRNA from 1 species
GAAUAUUGGUCAAUGGAUGCAAGUCUGAACCAGCCAUGCCGCGUGCAGGAAGAAGGCCUUCUGGGUUGUAAACUGCUUUUGCCAGGGGAUAAAACGAGCAUGCGUGCUUAAUUGAAGGUACCUGGUGAAUAAGCCACGGCUAACUACGUGCCAGCAGCCGCGGUAAUACGUAGGUGGCAAGCGUUGUCCGGAUUUACUGGGCGUAAAGAGCGCGCAGGCGGCUGGUCAAGUCCGAUGUGAAAUCUCCCGGCUCAACUGGGAAACUGCAUCGGAAACUGAUCGGCUUGAAGGUGGGAGAGGGUAGUGGAAUUCCCGGUGUAGUGGUGAAAUGCGUAGAUAUCGGGAGGAACACCAGUGGCGAAGGCGACUACCUGGCCCAUUCUUGACGCUGAGGCGCGAAAGCUAGGGGAGCGAAC